rnacentral:rRNA from 1 species
GCAGCAGUGGGGAAUAUUGCACAAUGGGCGCAAGCCUGAUGCAGCCAUGCCGCGUGUGUGAAGAAGGCCUUCGGGUUGUAAAGCACUUUCAGUCGUGAGGAAGGUAGUGUAGUUAAUAGCUGCAUUAUUUGACGUUAGCGACAGAAGAAGCACCGGCUAACUCCGUGCCAGCAGCCGCGGUAAUACGGAGGGUGCGAGCGUUAAUCGGAAUUACUGGGCGUAAAGCGCAUGCAGGUGGUUUGUUAAGUCAGAUGUGAAAGCCCGGGGCUCAACCUCGGAAUUGCAUUUGAAACUGGCAGACUAGAGUACUGUAGAGGGGGGUAGAAUUUCAGGUGUAGCGGUGAAAUGCGUAGAGAUCUGAAGGAAUACCGGUGGCGAAGGCGGCCCCCUGGACAGAUACUGACACUCAGAUGCGAAAGCGUGGGGAGCAAACAGGAUUAGAUACCCUGGUAGUCCACGCCGUAAACGAUGUCUACUUGGAGGUUGUGGCCUUGAGCCGUGGCUUUCGGAGCUAACGCGUUAAGUAGACCGCCUGGGGAGUAGGUCGCAAGAUUAAAACUCAAAUGAAUUGACGGGGGCCCGCACAAGCGGUGGAGCAUGUGGUUUAAUUCGAUGCAACCCGAAGAACCUUACCUACUCUUGACAUCCAGAGAACUUUCCAGAGAUGGAUUGGUGCCUUCGGGAACUCUGAGACAGGUGCUGCAUGGCUGUCGUCAGCUCGUGUUGUGAAAUGUUGGGUUAAGUCCCGCAACGAGCGCAACCCUUAUCCUUGUUUGCCAGCGAGUAAUGUCGGGAACUCCAGGGAGACUGCCGGUGAUAAACCGGAGGAAGGU